rnacentral:lncRNA from 1 species
CAAAACACAAAUGCAUGCAUGUCAGGGACGGACAGGUGGAAGAGGGAAAAGCCACUGUCCCCUGCCUCUAGGAAUCUGCAAGAUACCCACCAGAGGAAGAGCUGCCUGUAGCAGAGACACAUAAAAUACCUAGACAUCACCAAAAUGCAUGUCAUCACCCAAUGAAUGAGCAGUGGUAGUAACAGCCCCUCAUAUGCACAGCCCUCUCACAGUUUAUAAAGAGCCGUCACCUGUAUGAGACCACAGAACCAUCCAGUAGCCCUGUAAGAACAAGGCAGAAGUGGCCAUGUGUCAGGUCUGAGCUGCUUCUGUUCUCCCUUGGAGCUCUGCAACCACUAUGGACCACUCCUGGACCAGCCUGCUGGAGGAUGAGACACAUGGAGCGCAGCCAAGCUGGCCCAGUUGUCCCCGCUGAGGCCCCACAUAUGCAGUCAAGGUCAGCAGGGCCACCUAGCUGACCCUCAGCUGAACACAAGCACAUGGAUGAGUCCUGCCAAGCCCAGAUCAAAUCAGGAAGGCUGCCCAGACAACCAACAGACUCGUGAGCAAAAAUAAACGCUUCUUGUGGGAUGCCUCUGAGGUUUUACAGAAAUUUUGUGGCAAUAGCUAAGUGCAACAGUCCGUUUCUUUAUGGUGGCCUGAUCAUUGCUCGUAUCAGCAACCCUGUAGGCCCAGACUAAGCAAGGCAUGCUGAAAUUUAAGAACUAGGAACAGCAGGAAAAAAUGGAAAUGUCCAGACUCUAAGCCCAGCACUAAGCCCCACCCUCUCAUUGCCCAGUGCUGUGCUAUCCCAGCUGAUGACCUAUUUACCUUCCUUGGUGCUG